rnacentral:miRNA from 1 species
AGGAUACAUUCAGUAUACG